rnacentral:rRNA from 1 species
CGUUGGGUGCAAGCGUUAAUCGGAAUUACUGGGCGUAAAGCGUGCGCAGGCGGCUUUGCAAGACAGAUGUGAAAUCCCCGGGCUUAACCUGGGAACUGCAUUUGUGACUGCAUGGCUGGAGUGCGGCAGAGGGGGAUGGAAUUCCGCGUGUAGCAGUGAAAUGCGUAGAUAUGCGGAGGAACACCGAUGGCGAAGGCAAUCCCCUGGGCCUGCACUGACGCUCAUGCACGAAAGCGUGGGGAGCAAACAGGAUUAGAUACCCUGGUAGUCCACGCCCUAAACGAUGUCAACUGGUUGUUGGACGGCUUGCUGUUCAGUAACGAAGCUAACGCGUGAAGUUGACCGCCUGGGGAGUACGGCCGCAAGGUUG